AGAGUUUGAUCAUGGCUCAGAUUGAACGCUGGCGGCAGGCCUAACACAUGCAAGUCGAACGGUAACAGGAAGCAGCUUGCUGCUUUGCUGACGAGUGGCGGACGGGUGAGUAAUGUCUGGGAAACUGCCUGAUGGAGGGGGAUAACUACUGGAAACGGUAGCUAAUACCGCAUAACGUCGCAAGACCAAAGAGGGGGACCUUAGGGCCUCUUGCCAUCGGAUGUGCCCAGAUGGGAUUAGCUAGUAGGUGGGGUAACGGCUCACCUAGGCGACGAUCCCUAGCUGGUCUGAGAGGAUGACCAGCCACACUGGAACUGAGACACGGUCCAGACUCCUACGGGAGGCAGCAGUGGGGAAUAUUGCACAAUGGGCGCAAGCCUGAUGCAGCCAUGCCGCGUGUAUGAAGAAGGCCUUCGGGUUGUAAAGUACUUUCAGCGGGGAGGAAGGGAGUAAAGUUAAUACCUUUGCUCAUUGACGUUACCCGCAGAAUAAACACCGGCUAACUCCGUGCCAGCAGCCGCGGUAAUACGGGAGGGGGCAAGCGUUAAUUCGGAAUUACUGGGCGUAAAGCGCACGCAGGCGGUUUGUUAAGUCAGAUGUGAAAUCCCCGGGCUCAACCUGGGAACUGCUUCUGAUACUGGCAAGCUUGAGUCUCGUAGAG
rnacentral:rRNA from 1 species